GAUGAACGCUGGCGGCGUGCCUAAUACAUGCAAGUCGAGCGAACAGAUGAGGAGCUUGCUCCUCUGACGUUAGCGGCGGACGGGUGAGUAACACGUGGAUAACCUACCUAUAAGACUGGGAUAACUUCGGGAAACCGGAGCUAAUACCGGAUAAUACAUUGAACCGCAUGGUUCAAUAGUGAAAGACGGUUUUGCUGUCACUUAUAGAUGGAUCCGCGCCGCAUUAGCUAGUUGGUAAGGCAACGGCUUACCAAGGCAACGAUGCGUAGCCGACCUGAGAGGGUGAUCGGCCACACUGGAACUGAGACACGGUCCAGACUCCUACGGGAGGCAGCAGUAGGGAAUCUUCCGCAAUGGGCGAAAGCCUGACGGAGCAACGCCGCGUGAGUGAUGAAGGUCUUCGGAUCGUAAAACUCUGUUAUUAGGGAAGAACAAAUGUGUAAGUAACUAUGCACGUCUUGACGGUACCUAAUCAGAAAGCCACGGCUAACUACGUG
rnacentral:rRNA from 1 species